UCUGUCUCAGUAUCCGCGGCGGGCUGCGGUCUCAGAGGCAUCUGCCGCUGCUGUGAUUAAAGGCGUGUGCUAUCACGUCUGGCUUUCCCUCGUGAAAGAAUUAUUCCUAGUGGUUAUUAAUUCUUCUGAGCGCACGCGUGAACAUAGCGUUUCCCAGACGUGAUCCUGUUUAACUUACGUAACUGGGGCUGGGAGGUUAGUGACGUUUGGGGCUCUUCAAGACCUUGGCACAAGCAGGGCUUUGUGAAGGACAAAAUGGUGGCGGCGGUGCAGGGCCAUCCUCUAUGAUGAGCACCUUUUCACAGACCUGUACUGAUUUCCGUGAGGAUAAGUAACUCUGAGGAGGCUGGCCCUAAGACCUGCCCCCGCCCAGCCAGGUCUUCUAAAGUGGUGUAGAAGUAAUGGAAUGCUAACAUGUCUUUGUAGAUUUGGGAACGUGAUUGCGUACGGAGGAAUGGGAGUGUGCGCUCACUUUAAGAUAUGGCUAAUCUCAUCGGAUUUUACACUUUGGAGCCAGGCUAGGACAUGCUUACAAAUAGGACGCUAUGCUGGUAGUCAAGCGUACUGGAACUCGAUUCUGAGAAACUCAAACUACAUCCCAGGAUGAAUACAGGUUAUCCUGAUUGAUGAUUUGUCGAAAGGGGGCGAGUAUUCCUGUAUAUCGCGAAUCUCCAGCAUUCAGAGGUUCUCUUAGCAGUAGCAUGCCUGUUGGUCCAGAGAUUUGGUGUCUUGCCUAAAGACAAGGAACCAUGCCAGAGAAAUAACCUGUCUUCACUCAAGGCCAAGCUGGAAUGAGGUCUGAGGAAAGAAUAAGGAGCAUGUAAUGUGAAUGGAAUCCAUAUCUUCAAGGAUGUAAAGACAUCUCUGCUCCCUGUACAUACAAUUUUGACAAUUUGGAAUUGUGUGUCUUCAUUUUCUUAAUUAAAUUCUUGAGAAUUUG